UUAAGUUCAGCGGGUAUUCCUGCCUGAUCCGAGGUCAAUUUACUAAGAUAGAAGUUUUUCGGCGUGGUGUUUGCCCAAAAAUCCGUAGCGAGAAAUUUUAAUGUCACUGCGCUAGAGAUUAUCGGCUGCACCGCCGCUGAUUUUCGGGGCGCCCCAAAAAACUAGGGCGAGCUCCCCCAACACCAAGCAGAGCUUGAGGG
rnacentral:misc_RNA from 1 species